rnacentral:rRNA from 1 species
AACACAUGCAAGUCGAGGGUUUCGGACCACCGGCGCACGGGUGCGUAACGCGUAUGCAAUCUACCUUUUACAGAGGGAUAGCCCAGAGAAAUUUGGAUUAAUACCUCAUAGUAUAAUGACUCGGCAUCGAGAUAUUAUUAAAGUCACAACGGUAAAAGAUGAGCAUGCGUCCCAUUAGCUAGUUGGUAAGGUAACGGCUUACCAAGGCUACGAUGGGUAGGGGUCCUGAGAGGGAGAUCCCCCACACUGGUACUGAGACACGGACCAGACUCCUACGGGAGGCAGCAGUGAGGAAUAUUGGUCAAUGGGCGCAAGCCUGAACCAGCCAUGCCGCGUGCAGGAUGAAGCAUCUAUGGUGUGUAAACUGCUUUUGUACGAGAAGAAACACUCCUUCGUGAAGGAGCUUGACGGUAUCGUAAGAAUAAG